rnacentral:pre_miRNA from 1 species
UCUUAUGGAUGAGGAAAGUAAGUGGUUUCUUGAGAUGGAAUCUACUCCUGUUGAAGACACUGUGAA